rnacentral:rRNA from 2 species
UUAAGCGACUAAGCGUACACGGUGGAUGCCCUGGCAGUCAGAGGCGAUGAAGGACGUGCUAAUCUGCGAAAAGCGUCGGUAAGGUGAUAUGAACCGUUAUAACCGGCGAUGUCCGAAUGGGGAAACCCAGUGCAAUUCGUUGCACUAUCGUUAACUGAAUACAUAGGUUAACGAGGCGAACCGGGGGAACUGAAACAUCUAAGUACCCCGAGGAAAAGAAAUCAACCGAGAUUCCCCCAGUAGCGGCGAGCGAACGGGGAGCAGCCCAGAGUCUGAAUCAGCUUGUGUGUUAGUGGAACGGUCUGGAAAGUCCGACGGUACAGGGUGAUAGUCCCGUACACCAAAAUGCACAGGUUGUGAACUCGAAGAGUAGGGCGGGACACGUGGUAUCCUGUCUGAAUAUGGGGGGACCAUCCUCCAAGGCUAAAUACUCCUGACUGACCGAUAGUGAACCAGUACCGUGAGGGAAAGGCGAAAAGAACCCCGGCGAGGGGAGUGAAAAAGAACCUGAAACCGUGUACGUACAAGCAGUGGGAGCACCUUCGGGUGUGACUGCGUACCUUUUGUAUAAUGGGUCAGCGACUUAUAUUCUGUAGCAAGGUUAACCGUAUAGGGGAGCCGCAGGGAAACCGAGUCUUAACUGGGCGUUAAGUUGCAGGGUAUAGACCCGAAACCCGGUGAUCUAGCCAUGGGCAGGUUGAAGGUUGGGUAACACUAACUGGAGGACCGAACCGACUAAUGUUGAAAAAUUAGCGGAUGACUUGUGGCUGGGGGUGAAAGGCCAAUCAAACCGGGAGAUAGCUGGUUCUCCCCGAAAGCUAUUUAGGUAGCGCCUCGUGAACUCAUCUUCGGGGGUAGAGCACUGUUUCGGCUAGGGGGUCAUCCCGACUUACCAACCCGAUGCAAACUACGAAUACCGAAGAAUGUUAUCACGGGAGACACACGGCGGGUGCUAACGUCCGUCGUGAAGAGGGAAACAACCCAGACCGCCAGCUAAGGUCCCAAAGUCAUGGUUAAGUGGGAAACGAUGUGGGAAGGCACAGACAGCCAGGAUGUUGGCUUAGAAGCAGCCAUCAUUUAAAGAAAGCGUAAUAGCUCACUGGUCGAGUCGGCCUGCGCGGAAGAUGUAACGGGGCUAAACCAUGCACCGAAGCUGCGGCAGCGACACUAUGUGUUGUUGGGUAGGGGAGCGUUCUGUAAGCCUGCGAAGGUGACCUGUGAGGGUUGCUGGAGGUAUCAGAAGUGCGAAUGCUGACAUAAGUAACGAUAAAGCGGGUGAAAAGCCCGCUCGCCGGAAGACCAAGGGUUCCUGUCCAACGUUAAUCGGGGCAGGGUGAGUCGACCCCUAAGGCGAGGCCGAAAGGCGUAGUCGAUGGGAAACAGGUUAAUAUUCCUGUACUUGGUGUUACUGCGAAGGGGGGACGGAGAAGGCUAUGUUAGCCGGGCGACGGUUGUCCCGGUUUAAGCAUGUAGGCUGGUUAUCCAGGCAAAUCCGGAUAAUCAAGGCUGAGGUGUGAUGACGAGGUACUACGGUGCUGAAGUAACAAAUGCCCUGCUUCCAGGAAAAGCCUCUAAGCAUCAGGUAACAUCAAAUCGUACCCCAAACCGACACAGGUGGUCAGGUAGAGAAUACCAAGGCGCUUGAGAGAACUCGGGUGAAGGAACUAGGCAAAAUGGUGCCGUAACUUCGGGAGAAGGCACGCUGGUGUGUAGGUGAAGUCCCUGCGGAUGGAGCUGAGACCAGUCGAAGAUACCAGCUGGCUGCAACUGUUUAUUAAAAACACAGCACUGUGCAAACACGAAAGUGGACGUAUACGGUGUGACGCCUGCCCGGUGCCGGAAGGUUAAUUGAUGGGGUUAUCCGUAAGGAGAAGCUCUUGAUCGAAGCCCCGGUAAACGGCGGCCGUAACUAUAACGGUCCUAAGGUAGCGAAAUUCCUUGUCGGGUAAGUUCCGACCUGCACGAAUGGCGUAAUGAUGGCCAGGCUGUCUCCACCCGAGACUCAGUGAAAUUGAACUCGCUGUGAAGAUGCAGUGUACCCGCGGCAAGACGGAAAGACCCCGUGAACCUUUACUAUAGCUUGACACUGAACAUUGAGCCUUGAUGUGUAGGAUAGGUGGGAGGCUUUGAAGCGUGGACGCCAGUCUGCGUGGAGCCAACCUUGAAAUACCACCCUUUAAUGUUUGAUGUUCUAACGUGGGCCCCUAAUCGGGGUUGCGGACAGUGUCUGGUGGGUAGUUUGACUGGGGCGGUCUCCUCCCAAAGCGUAACGGAGGAGCACGAAGGUUAGCUAAUCCUGGUCGGACAUCAGGAGGUUAGUGCAAUGGCAUAAGCUAGCUUGACUGCGAGCGUGACGGCGCGAGCAGGUGCGAAAGCAGGUCAUAGUGAUCCGGUGGUUCUGAAUGGAAGGGCCAUCGCUCAACGGAUAAAAGGUACUCCGGGGAUAACAGGCUGAUACCGCCCAAGAGUUCAUAUCGACGGCGGUGUUUGGCACCUCGAUGUCGGCUCAUCACAUCCUGGGGCUGAAGUAGGUCCCAAGGGUAUGGCUGUUCGCCAUUUAAAGUGGUACGCGAGCUGGGUUUAGAACGUCGUGAGACAGUUCGGUCCCUAUCUGCCGUGGGCGCUGGAGAAUUGAGGGGGGCUGCUCCUAGUACGAGAGGACCGGAGUGGACGCAUCACUGGUGUUCGGGUUGUCAUGCCAAUGGCACUGCCCGGUAGCUAAAUGCGGAAGAGAUAAGUGCUGAAAGCAUCUAAGCACGAAACUUGCCCCGAGAUGAGUUCUCCCUGAGACUUUAAGUCUCCUGAAGGAACGUUGAAGACGACGACGUUGAUAGGCCGGGUGUGUAAGCGCAGCGAUGCGUUGAGCUAACCGGUACUAAUGAACCGUGAGGCUUAACCU